GAUGAAGAACGCAGCGAAAUGCGCUAAGUAAUGUGAAUUGCAGAAUUCAGUGAAUCAUCGAAUCUUUGAACGCACCUUGCACCCUUUGGCAUUCUGAAGGGUAUGCUCGUUUGAGUGUCAUUGUACUCUCACACUCCCGAUCUUUGCAUUGGGAGCAGUGGACUUGGGUUUGCUGCUUCACCGUCGCUUACCUCAAAUAGGUUAGUGCAACUCUUGGUUGGACAUAGUACGGCGUGAUAAGUGUUCUUCGCCGGUGCCUCGCAAAGAGGGUGGCCGAUCGGGAUGUUUGUGCUCCAAACCGUCUUCGGACAAUCUCUGACGACUUGACCUCAAAUCGAGGAAGACUACCCGCUGAACUUAAGCAUAUCAAUAAGCGGAGGA
rnacentral:misc_RNA from 1 species